rnacentral:rRNA from 1 species
AUUGAACGCUGGCGGCAUGCUUUACACAUGCAAGUCGAACGGUAACAGGCCGCAAGGUGCUGACGAGUGGCGAACGGGUGAGUAAUGCAUCGGAACGUGCCCAGUCGUGGGGGAUAACUACUCGAAAGAGUAGCUAAUACCGCAUACGAUCUAUGGAUGAAAGCGGGGGACCGUAAGGCCUCGCGCGAUUGGAGCGGCCGAUGUCAGAUUAGGUAGUUGGUGGGGUAAAGGCUCACCAAGCCAACGAUCUGUAGCUGGUCUGAGAGGACGACCAGCCACACUGGGACUGGGACACGGCCCAGACUCCUACGGGAGGCAGCAGUGGGGAAUUUUGGACAAUGGGCGCGAGCCUGAUCCAGCAAUGCCGCGUGCAGGAAGAAGGCCUUCGGGUUGUAAACUGCUUUUGUACGGAACGAAACGGCUCUGGUUAAUACCCGGGGCUAAUGACGGUACCGUAAGAAUAAGCACCGGCUAACUACGUG